GCGCGCAAGGCCGGCGAUCACGAGCGGAGUGGGCGCCCCGUCCUCACCCUUCAGUCUUCGCAAGGAUCCCCUUUUUGCCCUAGCCCCGGAUCUUCUGCCGGUCGGACCCGGCUUCCGCCCCGGGGGGGGGGGGCCCUGGCCGUCACAUGACCAAAGGGGCGGAGAGCUGGGCGGGGCAUCAUGUGACCAUUUGGCGGCGACAGAUGAUGACGCAUGAACCCGCGCUCCGCGUUUCAGCUGCAAAGGGAGGAGUUAAGGAAGGAGUUGGGGUCUUGUCUGGGAAGUCGGGGUGCAGCCAGACGGAUCUAGGUCGGGCAGCCAGUGGUAUAGAAUCUGCUCUCUCCUCGUUGAAAAACUUCCAAUCCUGUAUCAGCUCCGGAAUGGACACAGCCUCUAGUGUUGCUCUGGAUCUAGUCGAAACUCAAACUGAAGUGAGUAGCGAAUACAGUAUGGACAAGGCAAUGGUUGAAUUUGCUAUGAUGGAUCGGGAACUAAACCAUUAUGUAAAAGCUGUUCAAUCUAUGAUAAGUCAUGUGAAAGAAGAACGUCCAGAAAAAAUACCAGAUCUAAAAUUAUUAGUGGAGAAGAAAUUUUUGGCUUUACAGAAUAAGAAUUCAGAUGCAGACUUCCAAAACAAUGAAAAAUUUGUACAGUUUAAACAACAGCUGAAAGAACUAAAGAAUCAGUAUGAGAAGAUUGAAACACAGAGUUAUGAAACUUGCUCAAAAUCGCCUGGGCAGUAAGUGUCAGAGCCAGCAUUUGAAAUCAGGCAGUCUGGGUGCUGAGACCAUAUUCUCAAUCCUAUGGCUAUGCUGACUCUCAGCCAGAUCUUCAAGUCCUUUAACUGCACUUUUGUUAGCCAGGUGAUGCAGGGAAUUUCCUUCAACUGCCUUCACUUUAGUUUCCCCAUCUGGAGAAGUGGGCAAGGGAGUUGUUAAAAGGAUUAAAUGAGAUUCCAUUGCACACAACCAGUGGUUCUUAACAUCUGUGGGUUUGGUUUUAUUUACCUAUAAUUUACUUUAUUUUUACUUUUGAUUUGUUUUUUAAGUUUAGACCCCACCCAGAAUUUCUGAUUCAUUUAAAUACUUUGUGGCAUGUGGUUUCUUGUCACCAAUUUACAACUCAUAUCAACAUUACUUCUGAAUAAGCAGAGUGACUUUAAAAAAAAAAAUUAAUCUUGAUAACUUCAGAAUUCAGUACAGCAUUAGUCAGCAUUGGUAGGAUUAAGUUUGGGGUGAUCUUAAAAAGUCUGACUUCACAAUCCCAUAGGGGUUGUUCCUCAGAUACUUGAAGUGCACUUCCUUAAAAUGUACUUCCUUGCCCAUUUAUUGCUGAAAUAUUUAUCUGCCUGCAUUCUCAAGGCAGCACAUUUCAUGAAUAGCUGAUGCUAGUGAAAAGGAAUGUGUUGUUAUUCUCUCUAUAUUUGAUAGCUUCUUACUGGGACUCAAGGAACUAUUCUGGAAGUAAACCCUUAAAAAUAGCAUCACUUACAAACAUUUUGCAUUUUUAAAUCUACGCAGUGGGACUUAAGAGGCUAUAAAUAUUCUGGUAGAUAACAGGCUUCUCAUCAAAUGUAUUGGCUGAAUCAAGAGGAGAUAUUUAUUUUUGUGCUGCCUUUUGAAAGAGAGGAAGACCCUUCAGGAAAAUGUAACAACUCCUUUAAAACAUUUAUUGAAGAAGAUAUUGGGAUAGUUAAUUUCAGUGAGAAGAAUUGGAGAACUUUUGAGUGUAUGGCAAGAGAAUGCCCUAUAGUUUGAAGACUGUUAUGUUGACCACAUAAUUUUGGUUUUCUUGAACUGGAACUGGGUCACUUCAAGGGCUGUACCAUUUAGAUCUCAGUCUGAGAUUAAAGAUGACAAGGCAGAUUUGGAGAUCUAAGAGGUUGUGAUAUCUCAGUGGGGUGGUACUGUUCCAUUAACACUCAUUUAUUGAGCACCUCUUAUUCAUAGGCACUGGGAUACAAACACACAGUGGUCAUUGUCCCUACACUUAAGUGUACAUUUCUGUGGGGAUGGGAGGGCAGGGGGUUUCACUGCAGUUCAGCAAGCUUGACGGUAGAGGAAGAUACAGGGUGGCUUUGAGAGUAGAGAGGAGGCUCACCUAAUCUAACCUGGGGUGGGGGGCAGGAGGGUGAGGCUGGACUAGUCUGGGAAGGCUUCCUGGGGGACAGAGUGCUGAGAUGAAUCUUAGAAAAUGGAUUGGCACUAACAAGGUGAAGAAGGGGUGGAAGGGCAUUCCAGCUGGUCUCUGUAUCCUAAGCAGUUCUUAAUCACCCUACCUAACCAGCAGUAUAUCAGCUCCAAUAAUGUCCUGACCAGUGACUUCAAAUCUUAUCAUUAUUUGUUAAAGAAAGAAUUCACUUCUGUGUCUCAAUGAUUAGCUGGUUUUGUUAAAUAUAAAUUCUAAGAAAAAAAAAUACUGGGGCCUUUUUGUCCCUGAAAUGAACAAUCUACUUCACCCAUUUGGCCCACCUCCUCCAUCAUAGCUUGAGCAGGAUUGGCUAGGGAACAUGCUAGACCCUAGCAGCGUGGGUUGAUGGAAUAAUAGGGCCCAGAGGAGGAUCACCUGCCUGCUAUCCAGAGGGAAUUGUGAGACCAAUAGAGUCGGGUCGUAAGCAGCAUCCAAGGCAGCCAUCAUCCCUGAAGGCUGGUCCUGGGCCAAAGGUAUAGUAGGCAGUGGCUCAGGACAUCCAGCCUAUAUCACUUACUACCUUUGUAACCUUCAGCAAAUUACUUCACCUCUCAGUGUUAAGUUUUCCCUAAAAUAAGGACUAAUAAUAAUAAUAGCCCAUCUUUAAAACCUCACUGUGUCUCACUACACCAGGGUCGGCAGGGCGGGGUGGGGUGGGGUUGGGUGUGGAUUGAAAGAAUGAAUUCAGGAAAGAACUUGGAAGUUUUUUGUUAGCUGUUAGGGGACAGAGGCCAGUUCUCUCAGAAGGGGACCCAAACAUAUCAAGACCUGCAAUUGGUGAAGUAUUUAGUACAGAGCUCCAAUUCUGCACAAGACGUUAGUUUACCAGUUGCCGCUUUAUUUAUUCAACACCUAUUUAGUGCAUGCCUCCUAUGUUCCAGGCACUGUUUUAAGCACUGGGGAGAAGUUACAGAAAUCAGUCCACACAAAGGUCCUGACGUAAGAGUAGGCCUGUCGUGUUCCAGGAGCACCAGGGAUUUCCAUAUGGAAUAAGUGAAGGAAAGAAAAGUGGAUGAGAUCAGAGAUAACAGAGGUCAAUCUUGCAGGGCCUUAUAGGCCACUGUAAAGACUUGCUUUAACUUUGAGGUCAAUAUGGGGUUAGAAUCGAGAGAGAAAUUCUUAGAACUGUUAUGAUUAUUGAGUCUAUAGAAUAUAGCAGGCCCUGUGCUAAGUGCCUGAUGGUGCUACCUGAUUUAUCAAACAGAAAAAGCAGAUUAGAACAAUGAUACAAGGCAGAUGACACCGUCUCCAGGGAGGAAACAAACAUGAGUUUGCCUGUAUAUUUGAACCCAAAUCUGUGUUUGCCACCAGACUGGUUAUAGCAAGAUAAAUUUUAGACUCCCCUUGACCACUCACAGGAAACUGGGUACGAACUCAAUGCCUGUGCUUCCAUCCGAAGGACUCUUCCAGUCAGGCACAAAGAAUCUUGAGUGGACAAAGCCCACCACACAGAUGUUUUUCUUUGGGUGCUAAGCAGGUGGACCCAGUGUCAAAGCUCUAGCCUCCCACUUCGAAUAUCUUUUGUUUUUCCAGGGGACAACUUCAGUGUGCUCAUUCUUUCCACAUGUAAAGACCCCAGUGUUGCUGGGUGCUUUUUAAGAGCAGGGUAGAAUCAAAGCCCAAAAUACCAAAGGUUCAGUUUCCUGUUCCUGACCACACUAGACCAGAAAAUGAUGCAGGUUUCAGAGCAGCUGCCCCCACCCAUGAACCUGCAGUUCAGCUUUGACUCAGAGGAGUGUGUGGGAACUGCUGGACUCCUAACUCGGCAAGAUGUUGUUCUCAACGGCAUGGACACCCCCAAAGUCAGGUUGAGUGUUCAAGGCCAAACUACAGUGCACUAAAUGAAGGAAAGACAGAAGUCUUGUUGGAAAUAGGAUAAUUUGUUUUACAAGACCAAAUAAGGCCCUCCCUGAAGACUUUAAUUCAGGCUCAACCAAAUCUGAAAUUUGGGCUAUUGAAGGCGCUGAACUAUAAGAUAGAGGGUAUUAAUUUUUUCAAAAGUGUGUAAAUUGACUGCCUGUUACAUACAGAAGCACAGCGCUAGGUGCUAAGAAUGCAAAGUGGUCUCUGCCACCCCUCUACCCCCACAAGCUGUUUGGAAGGGACACAUAAUUUGCAAGUUCUGACAGCGCACCAGAAGUGCUCUGUUAGCCGCAGAGCUCUGUAUUCCAACUGCGGUAUACAAAUGAGACUGAACAUAUUCAGCGAAAAUGGAGUGAGAAAAUGACUAUACUUAAUUAGUAUAGAUGAUGUCUGUCAACUGCUUCAUCUUGUAUCAGCCAAAGAAACAACAUUCUUUUCAACACUUAAGAGAAAUACUGUCUGUGCCCAACCUUUCCAAGAGAUUGUCAGAUUGGCUUUGAGUGAUAUGAAAUUUUCAUUUUCUUUCAUUUCAUUUCGUUUAUGCUUUGACUUGAGAGUUUAGUCUCUAGGUAAGAUGUAAAUUCAUUGCACUGAUGGAUGUACAGGCUAGAGUCAAACCUGAUCGUGAAGUCCAGUCUCCUGAUUUAGACCCUGGAAAAUUAUUUGACUUCCAUUAGUGGCUAAUGAUUAGUCUCAUUUUCAAAAUCUAUAAGCAAGGAUAAUUAUAUUUCAUUGUCAUUGUUGUUGAUUAAAGGAAAAAAUCCUUACAAGUUAUUUAGCAUAAUAAGCAGUAAUUUCUGAUCAGCAUGGAUGCAGACUUUAUCUGUGGGAGCCAUUGCAGGUUUUAGGCCGAGGAGUGACAUGGCCGAUGUAGGCCUGAACAAAGACGACUUCGGUGUUGCUGGGAUGUGUGGGCGAAAGCAUGGAGAGACCUGAAGCAAGGGGACAAACUGGCAAAUGGUGAUGGUGGUUUAGACCAAGACAAGGGCCUAAGUGAAUAUGCAAAGGAGGCACCAGGUCUAGGUGCUUUAAAAGUAGUAUUCCCAGAACUCGGGGACCAUUUGAAUUAAGAGGGAGGGGAAGGAUCAUCAGAAGGAAAGGACGGCUUUGAGCUUUCUAGCUUAGGAAGUUGGAUAGAUGGAGAUAAUGAACUAAUGUGUGUAGAGACUAUAAAAUGCAUUAUUUUACUUCAGACUGUAACUAUAUACCUGGCACUGAGCUAAGGAAUUUAUUAUUUGAUUUAGUGAUCGUGAUAAUUCUAUGGAGUAAGUAAUAUUGUGGCCAUUUUACUGUUAUAAAAACUUGAACUCGGAGAAACCCAGUGUCAUGCAGCUAGUGAGUGUCUCCCUAGGCCUUGAUCAUGGAUUUGUCUGAUACCAAAGCCUCACUUUAAACUACGGCAAGAAACAGGCCCUCACUCCAGAGAAGGGGAAAUGGAGUAGAGUCGGGAGGGUGAAGAUAACACUUAGUUCUGGAAACGUUAACCUCGAGUUGCAUAUGUAAGGCAAAGAUAUCUUGAGGGCAGUUGGAAAAUCAGACCUGUAGCUCAGGGGAGCAGUUGCAGGGAGAAAGAGAAAUUUGGAUGUUUUUGGUAUAUGGUUGAUGCAGGAGAGUAAAUGCGAUCACCCAGCAAGGGAUAUACAGUUAAGGAGAAACAGGUCCUACCUAAAUAAAGGUUUGGAAGGCAUACUCACCUAGUUUAGGAGUUUGAAAACACUCAUACCUAUACACAGUGUAAUUUUUUCUGACCAAAACAUAGCAUUAUGCAUUAGCAUGUAAAUUUGCAUGACGUUUGUUUUUCAUCAGCUAGGUAUUGUGUGUCCACUCUGUGUUGGUCAUCAUUAGAGGUUGGUCCCUGCCUUCAAACAGCUUGUAGUCUAGUGGAAAGCUGGAGAGCCAUAAGUUUUAAAAAGCGAUUGAACAGUAACAAGCCAUUAUCAUUAUAGUAUCGGCUCAAGUGUUAUGAUAGUGUGCUCCUUUAGGGUCCUAUGUAAGAUUGGCUCCAAAGCCAGACCAGAGAGUCAACAGCCAGGGAAUUAGCAUCACAGGUCAUAAUAUGGAGUAAGUUUGUAUUUUAAAAAGCAAUUUUUAAGCCUAAAAAUAACUAUAGGGUAUAUCUUUAGAGAAAUGCUUGAGAAUGAUUACAAGAAAAGUUGACAUAUACUGAAGUUAACUUGGUUGUAGUUUAUUUAGGAAGCAGGAUUUUUUAAGUGUAUAAGGCAACAAUUAAAUACACUAAAGAUUACUUCUGCAAGUUCUUGUAGGGAGACUAAGGGACCUUCUCUAAGUCAGGCUCACAGACAGUUUUUUUCUUAAGUGUUGCUACAUUUUCCAUUUGCGCACUAGAUGAUGUAGUUGACUUGCUUUGAGAAGGAGCCACAUUAUAUGAAAAAAUACAUGUCUUUUUAUUCUAGAUUUGCACUCCACACAAGACCUGCCCAAUAAGAGAGGCAUAAAGGGAGCUAGGACCACUGAGAGGCAGCUGUUUCUGCACCCUACCCCAUGCCCCUUCGGGGACCCCACUGCCAAUUUAAAUUCUGUCUGUUUUUCUCUCUGUCUCCCCCCCACAUAUAGUAAGAAUCUACAAAGGUUAGUUAUUAGUGCCAUUACUGUAUUAUGUCAGUGGACAAAAUAAAUAGCAUGUGAAGAUGGUAACCACUGGCCAGUGAGGACAGAGUGCCCCAACCCAAUGUAAGGCAGCCACUGGUUAGCUCUCCUUUCGCUUAACACGGAGGGAAGAGGCUGGCAUUUGCCUCCUCUUCCUCUCUUUUAACUCUGAGCAUUACUGGUAUGCGGUGGAAUUGAGUAGCUAGUCAGUUCCAAGCACCACAGCCAGAAACAGUAACUUUCUCUUCUUUAAAAGAGAAAACCCCCUUCCUUCCAAGCACAUGUGCAAUGGCUAUGUUUAGAAAUCUUCCAGGAGCAGUAUAGGAGAGAGCUGAAAGUGUGGUGCGCAGCGUGAUGCCCGUGUAUGAUAAGGAAGAUGGGCAGCCAGCCAGCCAUCAUGUUGUCUCUGUUGUUUAAUGUGUUGUCAGAUCAGAAGGGAAAUAGGAUUCUUUUCUCUUUAGCUGAACUUUUCCAUCAGUUCUACUGAGCUGCCAACUGGAGGACUCUGGUUGACACAUCUUUUGGGCUCAUUUUUCUCCAGCAGGAGCAAAGAACAAACCAUAGAUUUUUAAACAGGGGGUGUGAGCUGGGAGUCAGUUGACCAGACCUCAUAUUGUGAUGCGCUGAACACCUCCCUCACUAAGCACUCCCCCGACUCACCCUAAGCAUCUCCUGUGCCUGCCUCCUUCAACAGGAAGUUGCAAAAUUGUAGACUUGAUAUUGUUAGUAGAAUAAACUUAUCAACUUUCUUUGGAUUUAUUUCUAAAACCCCAUACAGUAGAUAUAAAGGGCCCUUUGACCAAGCAACGACGUAAUUUUCUCCCUGAAGGAUGUGUCAGCCCUUGUUUCCUUUUCACUGUUUAAGGGUUAAAACACACUGCUGUGGUCACAGAGGUCAGACACCAGAGCCCCUGAGCCGGAUCCACCCACAGAUGGGUUCAGUUUGGCCCACACAGUUGUAUAUAUACAUGUAUCAGUUAGUUACGACAUACAAAAAUUGAGAGAUUCACAUAACAAUCUGCAUUUCCUGCUUAUUAGUUUAAAAACACCAGAUCUGACAACCUUGGGGCUUCCCUCCCUCGGCGGGGAGUGGCGGGGGCAGCACCCCCUUGGCCCCUCCACUUUGCUACAGUCCCUGCCUGGUCCACUUCCUUUGCUUGUGCUCGUUUCCUAGUCCCAGAGGCCUUGGAGUUUAACUCUCGUAGAGCCUGCUGUCAUUUUCUUAUAAUUUCAAGUGAAGAGUGAAAAUUCUUCUCAUUACUCUCCAUGACCCAAAUUGUAUGAGAUGCUAAAUGCUAAAGUCUAGGCCUUUGCCCUGUGAGUUAAGAUGAGAUAUCCCAAGGAAAGCAUUCUUUGCAUCCUUUAUUUAAAAAUCACAUAGUUGAAAAUUAUCCUCACCCCAAGUUUCUCUUGAGUCAGAGAACAGUCUUUUUCCUUUGACCUUUUUCGUGGUAGCAUUUCAUGCUGUUCUAGUUACUACCAGUAAUACAAGCUAAACAACAACCCAAAGUUGAACCCUCUGGCCUUAUCCUUAGUCAUCUACUUUUGGCUUCUGGAGAUUUGAGGUUAUGGGCUGUAUCUGGGGAAGGGAGCAUGGAGAUCUAAAGGGGAAAUCAGAUACAUGUUUCACUUCCACAGAACUGAAAACAGAGUCAUGGGGCCACACAAUACAGUGGUAAUGUGUGCAGAAGUAUUUGCAAAUGACUUUUAUUGGGAAGCCAUUUGCCACUCUCUUUUUGAGCUGCACGGCUGGCCUUUCCCCCAGGUUCUGUAGACGUCCCAUUCAGGGGAGCACACCUCACUUGGAGAAACCUGCCCCAGCUCACUCUUCUCUGUUGUACCGUUUCUUUAUUUUAAAUCUGGAAGCAGAAGCGUAUUUCCCUUAGCCUCUGCCAGCGACCUGGGGCAACUUGAGCAUGAUUACCUGAAGCUAGUGCCCAGCAGCCCAUGAAAGAAUUAUGCCAUGAGAGUACAAAAUGUAGCUAUUCCUGUGGAGAAGUUUAAUCGGUUUACAAAAAUUCAUUAAACACUUGUGGGGCUUAGAUUAAAAGUCUUAUGUGAAUAUUAGUCAUUCGUUCCAUUGUCAGCAUUGUUUCAGUUUACCAUAGAAAUGUUUUAUUAGUUUGUUCAAAUUCCCAUGACUCCAGUUUCACAUGAGGUCGUGGACUCCUCAAUCGAAAAGUUUUUAGUAGCUUCAGUAGGUCUGAAAUUUCAGAGUGUUGAGCAAGGCCUACACUGAGCUGGAGAACAUGAUCUAAUAAGAUUGGACUGUCAAAACAAGAAGCACCAGUCUGUGGUUACAAGGUUUUUCAGAAGGAAAUGUUAAAGCUCUGCUGUGAGAACCUCAGAAGGAUAAUAAAACAUGUCAGGUUGGAAGCUGGUUUCUUCUUCAUUUCUCCUGUGAUAGAUGGUCUUCAAGUAGACAGAGAGGCUGAUGGAACUGAAGGAGUUGAUGAAGAUAUGAUCGUGACCCAAAGUCAGACCAACUUCAUCUGCCCCAUUACGCAGAUGGAAAUGAAGAAGCCAGUGAAAAAUAAAGUGUG